UUUAACGGCCGCGGUAUCUUGACCGUGCUAAGGUAGCGCNAUCNAUUGUCUUUUAAAUGGGGACCUGUAUGAAUGGCGUAACGAGGGCUUAACUGUCUCCUUUUCUUGGUCAAUGAAAUUGAUCUCCCCGUGCAGAAGCGGGGAUAAACACAUAAGACGAGAAGACCCUGUGGAGCUUUAGAGUUAGAACNGCUUAAUGUUAAACUGUACUAUCAGAGCACAGUAACCCUAAGGAUUCUGUUCCUAUGUCUUUGGUUGGGGCGACUAUGGAGUAAAAAAUAACCUCCAUGUGGAAUAAGAGUACUACUCAUUAAAACUCAGGGCUACCGCCCUAUUUAACAGAACUUCAGACCUAAAGAUCCGGUUUCAUACCGAUAAACGAACCAAGUUACCCCAGGGAUAACAGCGCAAUCUCCUUUAAAAGACCAUAUCUAAAAGGGGGUUUACGACCUCGANGUAGGAUCAGGACAUCCUCAUAGGG
rnacentral:rRNA from 1 species